rnacentral:rRNA from 1 species
UUUCCUACGGGAGGCAGCAGUGGGGAAUAUUGCACAAUGGGGGAAACCCUGAUGCAGCGACGCCGCGUGAGUGAAGAAGCGCCCCGGCGCGUAAAGCGCUGUCAGCAGGAACGACGAUGACGGUACCUGAAGAAGAAGCCCCGGCUAACUACGUGCCAGCAGCCGCGGUAAUACGUAGGGGGCAAGCGUUAUCCGGAUUUACUGGGUGUAAAGGGAGCGUAGACGGCGGGGCAAGUCUGGAGUGAAAGGCCGGGGCCCAACCCCGGGACCGCUCUGGAAACUGCCCGCCUGGAGUUCG